UACGUAGGGUCCGAGCGUUAUCCGGAAUCAUUGGGCGUAAAGAGCUCGUAGGCGGUUCAGCAAGUCGGCUGUGAAAGUCCGGGGCUCAACCCCGGAAUUGCAGUCGAUACUGCUGUGACUCGAGUCCGGUAGAGGAGAACGGAAUUCCCGGUGUAGCGGUGAAAUGCGCAGAUAUCGGGAGGAACACCAGUAGCGAAGGCGACACUCUGGGCCGGUACUGACGCUGAGGAGCGAAAGCGUGGGGAGCAAACAGG
rnacentral:rRNA from 1 species